CCUGGUGGUAAGAUCAGAGGGGCCACACCCGUUCCCAUCCCGAACACGGUAGUUAAGCCCUCUGGAGCCGAUGAUACUGGGAACUCCCGGGAAAGUAGGACGCUGCUAGGG
rnacentral:rRNA from 1 species